GGGCGGUUAGCUCAGCGGCUAGAGCGCUUCGUUUACACCGAAGAGGUCAGAGGUUCAAAUCCUCUACCGCCCACCA
rnacentral:tRNA from 1 species